GCACCUGUGGCUCAAAGGAGUAGGGUGCUGGUCCCAUAUACCAGAGGUGGUGGGUUCAAAACCCAACCUGGGCCA
rfam:Otolemur garnettii contig149608, whole genome shotgun sequence.